rnacentral:rRNA from 1 species
UACAGAGGGUGCGAGCGUUGUCCGGAAUCACUGGUCGUAAAGGGCGCGUAGGUGGCGGCAUAAGGCCGCGGUGAAAGUUCGGGGCUCAACCCUGAAUCGGCCGCGGCGACUGUGUCGCUAGGGCACCGUAGAGGCAGAUGGAAUUCCGGGUGUAGCAGUGAAAUGCGUAGAUAUGCGGAGGAACACCGAUGGCGAAGGCAAUCCCCUGGGCCUGCACUGACGCUCAUGCACGAAAGCGUGGGGAGCAAACAGG